GUUAAGAAGCAGCCUGAGUAGAAGGUGUGCUGGCUCAGGAGGAGCAUCCCCGGCGGUGCCUUUGGCUGGUUCCAUGCCUGCAAGUUGAGCUGGUUGGUCCCUCUCCCUGUUGCUCACUGUUGUCAUGGCUGCCCUGUCCAGCCCAGCCCCAAGCAGCUGUUCAGUGAACCAGCAUUUACUGCAUACAGUUCGUUAUCAUCAUCAGAGCAUUAAGAACAGUCGUGUCACCUAAUGAAGGGGUAAGUUCUGAGAAAGGUGGUGUUGAUUCAUCUUUGUGUGACUCUGCUAGCAUGCACUCACACACCUAGAUGCCCUAGCCUAGCACACACCUAGUGUAUGUCACCACAUGUGUAGCUUUUAUACGGUGCAGCAUAAUAGAUUUCUUUCCACCAGCAUCACCCAAACACAUGAGUAGCAUGUUGUACUGUGGUAUCCCAUGUGAUAGGGAUUUUUCGGCUCUGUUGUAAUCUUAUGAUACCCCUGUCAUACAUGCCAUCCGUCACUAACUGAAACAUCACCAUGCACUACAAAGCUUUUUAGUGGUUGCCAUGUGCCAGGUGCUGUUCUGGCUCUUCACACAUGUGCUGCUCCUUCAUCCUCAGUAGCACUGUAUAAGUUAGAUGCUGUGACUACCCUGUUUUACAGAUGAGGAAGCUGGAGCUCAGAGAGAUUAUAUAACUCACCCAAAUUCAGACAGCCUAAAAAUGACCCAGAAUGUGAACCAGGAAGUCUGGCUCCAUUGUGGUGACUUUGUUAGGAUGUGAUUCUCCCUCACCUCAUCUCAAGGAACAGGGAGACUUGGUGCAUGGUAACCUCAGGUAAAGAGCAUCAGUGCUUUCUGCCAAGUGUGCGGAGUACAUUUGGGACCCUGGUAGAAAAGGAGAGACAGUGUUCUGGGAUGGUCUCACCAGCAGGAUUUCAUGCAACUUGAAAGUUCUCUCAGUGCCCAGUUAUAUUGUACCUUCAAAAGUCAGUCAUGGGGGGCUGGGCUUGUGGCUCAGUGGUAG
rnacentral:lncRNA from 1 species